AUUGAACGCUGGCGGCAUGCUUUACACAUGCAAGUCGAACGGUAACAGGGAGCUUGCUCCGCUGACGAGUGGCGAACGGGUGAGUAAUGCGUCGGAACGUGCCGAGUAGUGGGGGAUAACGCAGCGAAAGUUGUGCUAAUACCGCAUACGUACUGAGGUAGAAAGUGGGGGACCUUCGGGCCUCACGCUAUUCGAGCGGCCGACGUCUGAUUAGCUAGUAGGUGAGGUAAAGGCCCACCUAGGCGACGAUCAGUAGCGGGUCUGAGAGGAUGGUCCGCCACACUGGGACUGAGACACGGGCCAGACUACUACGGGAGGCAGCAGUGGGGAAUUUUGGACAAUGGGCGAAAGCCUGAUCCAGCCAUGCCGCGUGUCUGAAGAAGGCCUUCGGGUUGUAAAGGACUUUUGUCGGGGAGGAAAUCCCCAGCGCUAAUACCGCUGGGGGAUGACAGUACCUGAAGAAUAAGCACCGGCUAACUACGUGCCAGCCGCCGCGGUAAUAC
rnacentral:rRNA from 1 species